rnacentral:rRNA from 1 species
CUUUCUCCGCCGACGACCGGCGCACGGGUGAGUAACACGUAUGCAACCUGCCCCUGUCAGGGGGACAACCCGCCGAAAGGCGGGCUAAACCCGCGUACAUGCCACCGGGGCAUCCCGGAGGCAGGAAAGGCUUCGGCCGGACAGGGAUGGGCAUGCGGCGCAUUAGGCAGUAGGCGGGGUAACGGCCCACCUAACCGACGAUGCGUAGGGGUUCUGAGAGGAAGGUCCCCCACACUGGUACUGAGACACGGACCAGACUCCUACGGGAGGCAGCAG